rnacentral:rRNA from 1 species
UACGGAAGGCAGCAGUGGGGAAUAUUGCACAAUGGGCGAAAGCCUGAUGCAGCUAUGCCGCGUGUAUGAAGAAGGCCUUAGGGUUGUAAAGUACUUUCAUCGGGGAGGAAAAAACAAAACUAAUAAUUUUAUUUCUUGACGUUACCCGAAAAAGAAGCACCGGCUAACUCCGUGCCAGCAGCCGCGGUAAUACGGAGGGUGCUAGCGUUAAUCAGAAUUACUGGGCGUAAAGAGCACGUAGGUGGUUUUUUUAAGUCAGAUGUGAAAUCCCUGGGCUUAACCUGGAACUGCAUUUUGAAACUGAAAUACUAGAGUAUCGUAGAGGGAGGUAGAAUUCUAGGUGUAGCGGUGAAAUGCGUAGAUAUCUGGAGGAAUACCUGUGGCGAAAGCGGCCUCCUAAACGAAUACUGACACUGAGGUGCGAAAGCGUGGGGAGC